CCCGCCACUGUGCCUGUCUGUACCUGGUAUAGUCCAGUGGUGGCCGAGAGUGACCCCAGCUCUAGGAAGCAGGGCUGCCCUGAACAGUGGACAGCUGUGUGCCGGAAGGCCUGGGUCAUUC